CCUACGGGGGGCAGCAGUGGGGAAUCUUGCGCAAUGGGCGAAAGCCUGACGCAGCGACGCCGCGUGGGGGAUGAAGGCCCUCGGGUUGUAAACCCCUUUCGGCAGGGACGCGGUACCUGCAGAAGAAGCCUCGGCUAACUACGUGCCAGCAGCCGCGGUAAGACGUAGGAGGCGAGCGUUGUCCGGAUUCAUUGGGCGUAAAGAGCACGCAGGCGGUUUGGCAAGUCGGAUGUGAAAACCCGAAGCUCAACUUCGGGCCUGCAUCCGAAACUGCCCGACUAGAGGUAGGUAGGGGAGAUCGGAAUUCCUGGUGUAGCGGUGAAAUGCGCAGAUAUCAGGAGGAACACCGGUGGCGAAGGCGGAUCUCUGGGCCUUCCUGACGCUCAGGUGCGAAAGCUAGGGGAGCGAACAGGAUUAGAUACCCUUGUAGUC
rnacentral:rRNA from 1 species